rnacentral:tRNA from 1 species
GCGGGCAUGGUUCAGUUGGUAGAAUGUCUCCUUGCCAAGGAGAAGGUCACGGGUUCGAGUCCCGUUGCCCGCUCUA